GGUUAAGCGACUAAGCGUACACGGUGGAUGCCCUGGCAGUCAGAGGCGAUGAAGGACGUGCUAAUCUGCGAUAAGCGUCGGUAAGGUGAUAUGAACCGUUAUAACCGGCGAUUUCCGAAUGGGGAAACCCAGUGUGUUUCGACACACUAUCAUUAACUGAAUCCAUAGGUUAAUGAGGCGAACCGGGGGAACUGAAACAUCUAAGUACCCCGAGGAAAAGAAAUCAACCGAGAUUCCCCCAGUAGCGGCGAGCGAACGGGGAGCAGCCCAGAGUCUGAAUCAGUGUGUGUGUUAGUGGAAGCGUCUGGAAAGGCGCGCGAUACAGGGUGACAGCCCCGUACACAAAAAUGCACAUGCUGUGAGCUCGAUGAGUAGGGCGGGACACGUGGUAUCCUGUCUGAAUAUGGGGGGACCAUCCUCCAAGGCUAAAUACUCCUGACUGACCGAUAGUGAACCAGUACCGUGAGGGAAAGGCGAAAAGAACCCCGGCGAGGGGAGUGAAAAAGAACCUGAAACCGUGUACGUACAAGCAGUGGGAGCACGCUUAGGCGUGUGACUGCGUACCUUUUGUAUAAUGGGUCAGCGACUUAUAUUCUGUAGCAAGGUUAACCGAAUAGGGGAGCCGAAGGGAAACCGAGUCUUAACUGGGCGUUAAGUUGCAGGGUAUAGACCCGAAACCCGGUGAUCUAGCCAUGGGCAGGUUGAAGGUUGGGUAACACUAACUGGAGGACCGAACCGACUAAUGUUGAAAAAUUAGCGGAUGACUUGUGGCUGGGGGUGAAAGGCCAAUCAAACCGGGAGAUAGCUGGUUCUCCCCGAAAGCUAUUUAGGUAGCGCCUCGUGAAUUCAUCUCCGGGGGUAGAGCACUGUUUCGGCAAGGGGGUCAUCCCGACUUACCAACCCGAUGCAAACUGCGAAUACCGGAGAAUGUUAUCACGGGAGACACACGGCGGGUGCUAACGUCCGUCGUGAAGAGGGAAACAACCCAGACCGCCAGCUAAGGUCCCAAAGUCAUGGUUAAGUGGGAAACGAUGUGGGAAGGCCCAGACAGCCAGGAUGUUGGCUUAGAAGCAGCCAUCAUUUAAAGAAAGCGUAAUAGCUCACUGGUCGAGUCGGCCUGCGCGGAAGAUGUAACGGGGCUAAACCAUGCACCGAAGCUGCGGCAGCGACACUGUGUGUUGUUGGGUAGGGGAGCGUUCUGUAAGCCUGUGAAGGUGUACUGUGAGGUAUGCUGGAGGUAUCAGAAGUGCGAAUGCUGACAUAAGUAACGAUAAAGCGGGUGAAAAGCCCGCUCGCCGGAAGACCAAGGGUUCCUGUCCAACGUUAAUCGGGGCAGGGUGAGUCGACCCCUAAGGCGAGGCCGAAAGGCGUAGUCGAUGGGAAACAGGUUAAUAUUCCUGUACUUGGUGUUACUGCGAAGGGGGGACGGAGAAGGCUAUGUUGGCCGGGCGACGGUUGUCCCGGUUUAAGCGUGUAGGCUGGUUUUCCAGGCAAAUCCGGAAAAUCAAGGCUGAGGCGUGAUGACGAGGCACUACGGUGCUGAAGCAACAAAUGCCCUGCUUCCAGGAAAAGCCUCUAAGCAUCAGGUAACAUCAAAUCGUACCCCAAACCGACACAGGUGGUCAGGUAGAGAAUACCAAGGCGCUUGAGAGAACUCGGGUGAAGGAACUAGGCAAAAUGGUGCCGUAACUUCGGGAGAAGGCACGCUGAUAUAUAGGUGAAGUCCCUCGCGGAUGGAGCUGAAAUCAGUCGAAGAUACCAGCUGGCUGCAACUGUUUAUUAAAAACACAGCACUGUGCAAACACGAAAGUGGACGUAUACGGUGUGACGCCUGCCCGGUGCCGGAAGGUUAAUUGAUGGGGUUAGCCGCAAGGCGAAGCUCUUGAUCGAAGCCCCGGUAAACGGCGGCCGUAACUAUAACGGUCCUAAGGUAGCGAAAUUCCUUGUCGGGUAAGUUCCGACCUGCACGAAUGGCGUAAUGAUGGCCAGGCUGUCUCCACCCGAGACUCAGUGAAAUUGAACUCGCUGUGAAGAUGCAGUGUACCCGCGGCAAGACGGAAAGACCCCGUGAACCUUUACUAUAGCUUGACACUGAACAUUGAGCCUUGAUGUGUAGGAUAGGUGGGAGGCUUUGAAGUGUGGACGCCAGUCUGCAUGGAGCCGACCUUGAAAUACCACCCUUUAAUGUUUGAUGUUCUAACGUUGACCCGUAAUCCGGGUUGCGGACAGUGUCUGGUGGGUAGUUUGACUGGGGCGGUCUCCUCCUAAAGAGUAACGGAGGAGCACGAAGGUUGGCUAAUCCUGGUCGGACAUCAGGAGGUUAGUGCAAUGGCAUAAGCCAGCUUGACUGCGAGCGUGACGGCGCGAGCAGGUGCGAAAGCAGGUCAUAGUGAUCCGGUGGUUCUGAAUGGAAGGGCCAUCGCUCAACGGAUAAAAGGUACUCCGGGGAUAACAGGCUGAUACCGCCCAAGAGUUCAUAUCGACGGCGGUGUUUGGCACCUCGAUGUCGGCUCAUCACAUCCUGGGGCUGAAGUAGGUCCCAAGGGUAUGGCUGUUCGCCAUUUAAAGUGGUACGCGAGCUGGGUUUAGAACGUCGUGAGACAGUUCGGUCCCUAUCUGCCGUGGGCGCUGGAGAACUGAGGGGGGCUGCUCCUAGUACGAGAGGACCGGAGUGGACGCAUCACUGGUGUUCGGGUUGUCAUGCCAAUGGCACUGCCCGGUAGCUAAAUGCGGAAGAGAUAAGUGCUGAAAGCAUCUAAGCACGAAACUUGCCCCGAGAUGAGUUCUCCCUGACUCCUUGAGAGUCCUGAAGGAACGUUGAAGACGACGACGUUGAUAGGCCGGGUGUGUAAGCGCAGCGAUGCGUUGAGCUAACCGGUACUAAUGAACCGUGAGGCUUAACCUU
rnacentral:rRNA from 1 species